rnacentral:lncRNA from 1 species
ACGGGUCUGUCGUGUAGCUGAAGAUGAGCUCCGAGCCGGAGAGUUCUUGAACUGUGAUCGGAGAUUUUCUUGAUUUUCCGAUCACUUUCCCCACCGGCGGCGGCUGUUCGCGGGGGAGGAGGUUGUAGGGGACCUCCCAUCGUUGUUUCUUGGCGUCUGUGAUGUGAACGCGGAGGCGAGUAUCGGUCUCGUGUCUGUGAGAGAAUCCAACGGUUAGAAAUCGAGGAGGUAGUGUAGGGUGCGAAGUAGAGGAUUAAGAGAGUGGUGCUAGUGCUACUUACUUGACGUAGAGGCGGAGGGUGGUGAUGUCUGAGCCGUAGAUUUUGUUCUUCUGUUUGACUUGGAGAUAGCCGAUGAAUCCACCGUCUGGAGAUUCUUCGAUUGAGAUCAAACGGUAGCCUUUGCCGAUGGUGUUGGAGCAGUGGAUGGGUGAGAAACAGAGGAUUAAAGCCACGAGAAGAGAAAGAGAUGAAAAAACUAUUCGUGAAGUGACCAUGGCUAUUUUUAUUCUAGUGAUACUCCACACUCUACAGUGUUAUGUGUAUAAUGAAGAAGAGAGAAAAGACCCUCGAUUAAAGAGCUCGAUGAUAAGUUCGCGAAACACUAAACGAGGGGAUAUAAAUAGUAGAAGAAAAUGUUUAGUCGUUCUUUUAUUUAUUUUAUAAAUAUAAAAAAACUGAUAUUACUAGUAUUAUUUAUCAAAGGGUCUGAUGAUGUCAACAAAAAAAUCAAAGGGUCUGAUAUUUAUUUAUGCGUGUAUCGAUUAAAAAUCGUUAAUACGGGGGGGGGCGGGGGGGCUUAAGCGGGCGGGCUAAAUGUGAAACUGGAGUUUUUUGGGCUUAAGCGGGCGGGCUAAACGUGAAACUGGAGUUUUUUUGCGUGCAGUUCAUUCGUAAAUCAUGGCAAGAUCAAGUGAAAUUCAGAGUUUAUUCCAUAAAUCUGUAGUCAAUUUUAUUUUCUUUUAAGUUGAAUAUGUAUAACCUUUUUAGGUGUCUGGUUAGAGGUUAUUUCCGAAAACCAAUCAGCUUUCAUACCGAGGAGGGCAAUUUCUCAUAAUGUAUUGAUAACUCACGAAGUGUUACAUUAUCUCAAGACUUCGGAAGCACACAAGAAUUGGUCUAUGGCUGUGAAAACAGAUAUUAGCAAAGCCUACGAUCGUCUAAAAUGGAAUUUCUUAGAAAGAGUCAUAUUCCAAAUGGGUUUCCACAUCAAAUUCGUCAAAUAGAUGAUGCAAUGCAUAACUACUGUCACAUACUCCUUUCUAAUUAAUGAUGAGGUGGCAGGGAAAGUCAUACCUUCUCGUGGGAUUCGACAAGGUGAUCCUAUUUCACCAUAUGUUUUCAUUCUCUGCGGCGAGGUCCUUUCUGGUCUUUGCAAAGAAGAUCAGCGUGAUGGUUCGAUGACUGGUAUCAGAGUGGCCACAAAAUGCCCCCGCAUAAACCACCUCUUAUUUGCUGAUGAUACGAUGUUCUUCAUCCACACUAACCACCAGAGCUGUAUCGCCCUGAAAGAUAUUCUAUCAGAAUAUGAGAAAGCAUCAGGGCAAAUGAUUAAUGCAAACAAGUCAUCAAUAUCUUUCUCAGCAAAAACUUCUCAAGAAGAGAGAACCCGAGUAAAGCAAACACUGGGAAUUGAUAAAGAAGGGGGAGUAGGAAAGUAUUUAGGUCUACCUGAGCUAUUUGGAAGGAAGAAAAAAGAUCUCUUUGCAUCUAUAGUAGACUGUAUCAAGCAUCCAACCAGGUCCUUCUCCAGUAGGACACUUCUUCCCUUUGGGGAUCGUGCACAAUCCAGAGCAAAAGUUUGAUACCUCGUUCAUGUCGAUCCAUAGACCAUCUAUAGGGACUAGUUCAUGGAAGCGGCGGAUUUCUUCACCCCACCAAGAAACAGUCUUAGGGUUAAGGAAAUCAGGAAAGUGAACUGCACCGGGCCAUACUUGGGCCAAGAAAGGCUUUCCUUCGUACUUGAUGAACACGUCAUUGGCCAUACCUCGUUGGUAUACACCGUAGCUGGAGUUGACACCAAUACCGGGAUCGUUGAUGACGACAUACUUCAUGCCCAUCUUGUGGAUUCUGUCUAAGAAGUUUAAUAGCUUGGCACGAGGGUAGCUUAUGGGACUCAACGUGAAGUCUUUUUUGGCAUCCAUGUGAUCAUCAUCGUUCCAAAUCACAUCAAGAGGGAUCUUAGCCUUUUGGUAACUGUCCACCACGUCUUCAAUAACUGAUAAGUUACGGUAUCCCCAUCUACAUUGGUGAAAUCCUACAACACAAAUAUUGAAACAAGAUUAUAAGUACUAUAAAAUCAAAUCAAAGAUUUGCUGUAAUAAAUACUUCUUUAAUGUCACAUUGCCGAAACCAAGAUUAUAAUGUCACAUUGCCGAAACCAAGAUUUGCUUCUUCUUUAAUGUCAACUCAAUGAUAGAACCGUGGUCCAGUGGCCACCAUGGACCAAUAUCAAGAUCAUUUAGGGACCAAUUAAAAAUUGCGAGGAUCAACAUUUAACAAAAGAGGAAAGCAAAAGAACACGUCUUCACGUUCUUCUUUAUCUUUUACUAUUUAAAACCCAUAAUUAGAAAGCGACCUCCAUUUAUUCUACAACAUAUCCCACAAAAAGGGUAACCUUUCUAAAAGCUGUGUCGGAGAAAGAUAACCUCUUAACUGUGACUCCAUUACUACAUGUGUCAAUUAUUACAAGACUAUUCAACACAUAGUUCAGUUUUAAAAACCAGAUUUUCUUUUACUAAAGAACAUAAAUCUAAUAGAUUCUCAUUAGCAAAGCAACUGAUACGCAAAUCUAUUUUCAGAAACAUAAUCAUUAAUCACAAAUCCUAUAAGACAAAAUCAUCUUUUAAUUUUAUUUUACCACACAACAUUAAUUUAAUAGAUUCUCAUUAGCAAAUGGUACAUAAAUGGGUGCAAUAAAGCCCUAGGCACUAAGCAAAAAUAACUGCUAACAGCAUUUUCAACCCCAAUGCAAAAUUGACUGCAAAAAGGAGUUGAUUAUGCAGUUGUGAAAAACAAAAAAUACAAUAAAUUUUGUAAUGGGUUGUAGAUGCUAUAAAACGCCUAAAAACUUUAUUAGAUUUAGAUGUCUAUUUAUAUAGAUAAAUCAAAAAUCAAAAAUAUAUAAUCUAUUUAUUUAUUAGAUGUCUAUUUAUAUAGAUUGAAGUUUAUAACAAAAAUUAUAAUACUCAUUUAUAGCAUAAUAUAUUAUUUAGUAUAAUUCAUAACUAAUCCUAUAAAACAAAUAUCAUCUUUUAAUAUUAUUUAACUACCAAAAAAAUAUAUUAAACUGAAACACAAAGGAGAAACAGAGCAAUAAAUGUUUUUACCUAGAGACCAGUACGGCAUGGGAGCUGGCCGUCCGAUUAACGAAGUGUACUGAUCAACGACGUCGAGCGGCGAUGGUCCGGCGACGAAGUAAAAAUCAAAGACUCCUCCAAUAACUUUAUAAGUCAAAGACGUUCCUCUAUAGAACACAUCCAUACCGUUACUAUUAAGAAGCAGAACCGCAUGAGCGUACGGUUUACCUCCAACGUUCCUCAAAUCCAUGUAAACCGGAUGCGAACCAUAAAGAUCGGUGUUGAGGUUAAUAGCCGACACAUCCUCCGUGUAGAGCGUGUAAGGCUCGUUAGGGACGAGUUUGAUCCCGUUGGCUUGCGAGUUUUCACCUAACCCGUAUAUGGACGCGUCUUUAGGUAACGAGGUUGAGAUCUCGAGGUACUGGUCCUUGAACACCAUCUCGCCAAAAGCUGAGUUAGAGCUUGUGUUGAAGAGCGUUUGGCCGUUGGAUCUACGUUUCACGGCGAAGCUGAACGGGUCUGUCGUGUAGCUGAAGAUGAGCUCCGAGCCGGAGAGUUCUUGAACUGUGAUCGGAGAUUUUCUUGAUUUUCCGAUCACUUUCCCCACCGGCGGCGGCUGUUCGCGGGGGAGGAGGUUGUAGGGGACCUCCCAUCGUUGUUUCUUGGCGUCUGUGAUGUGAACGCGGAGGCGAGUAUCGGUCUCGUGUCUGUGGGAAUCCAACGGUUAGGAAUCGAGGAGGUAGUGUAGGGUGCGAAGUAGAGGAUUAAGAGAGUGGUGCUAGUGCUACUUACUUGACGUAGAGGCGGAGGGUGGUGAUGUCUGAGCCGUAGAUUUUGUUCUUCUGUUUGACUUGGAGAUAGCCGAUGAAUCCACCGUCUGGAGAUUCUUCGAUUGAGAUCAAACGGUAGCCUUUGCCGAUGGUGUUGGAGCAGUGGAUGGGUGAGAAACAGAGGAUUAAAGCCACGAGAAGAGAAAGAGAUGAAAAAACUAUUCGUGAAGUGACCAUGGCUAUUUUUAUUCUAGUGAUACUCCACACUCUACAGUGUUAUGUGUAUAAUGAAGAAGAGAGAAAAGACCCUCGAUUAAAGAGCUCGAUGAUAAGUUCGCGAAACACUAAACGAGGGGAUAUAAAUAGUAGAAGAAAAUGUUUAGUCGUUCUUUUAUUUAUUUUAUAAAUAUAAAAAAACUGAUAUUACUAGUAUUAUUUAUCAAAGGGUCUGAUGAUGUCAACAAAAAAAUCAAAGGGUCUGAUAUUUAUUUAUGCGUGUAUCGAUUAAAAAUCGUUAAUACGGGGGGGGGCGGGGGGGCUUAAGCGGGCGGGCUAAAUGUGAAACUGGAGUUUUUUGGGCUUAAGCGGGCGGGCUAAACGUGAAACUGGAGUUUUUUUGCGUGCAGUUCAUUCGUAAAUCAUGGCAAGAUCAAGUGAAAUUCAGAGUUUAUUCCAUAAAUCUGUAGUCAAUUUUAUUUUCUUUUAAGUUGAAUAUGUAUAACCUUUUUAGGUGUCUGGUUAGAGGUUAUUUCCGAAAACCAAUCAGCUUUCAUACCGAGGAGGGCAAUUUCUCAUAAUGUAUUGAUAACUCACGAAGUGUUACAUUAUCUCAAGACUUCGGAAGCACACAAGAAUUGGUCUAUGGCUGUGAAAACAGAUAUUAGCAAAGCCUACGAUCGUCUAAAAUGGAAUUUCUUAGAAAGAGUCAUAUUCCAAAUGGGUUUCCACAUCAAAUUCGUCAAAUAGAUGAUGCAAUGCAUAACUACUGUCACAUACUCCUUUCUAAUUAAUGAUGAGGUGGCAGGGAAAGUCAUACCUUCUCGUGGGAUUCGACAAGGUGAUCCUAUUUCACCAUAUGUUUUCAUUCUCUGCGGCGAGGUCCUUUCUGGUCUUUGCAAAGAAGAUCAGCGUGAUGGUUCGAUGACUGGUAUCAGAGUGGCCACAAAAUGCCCCCGCAUAAACCACCUCUUAUUUGCUGAUGAUACGAUGUUCUUCAUCCACACUAACCACCAGAGCUGUAUCGCCCUGAAAGAUAUUCUAUCAGAAUAUGAGAAAGCAUCAGGGCAAAUGAUUAAUGCAAACAAGUCAUCAAUAUCUUUCUCAGCAAAAACUUCUCAAGAAGAGAGAACCCGAGUAAAGCAAACACUGGGAAUUGAUAAAGAAGGGGGAGUAGGAAAGUAUUUAGGUCUACCUGAGCUAUUUGGAAGGAAGAAAAAAGAUCUCUUUGCAUCUAUAGUAGACUGUAUCAAGCUGAGAGCCGUCUGUUACUCCUCUAGACAAUUAUCUCCUGCAAGGAAACUUAAACUCCUGAAAUCUAUCCUCACUGCAAUCCCAACGUUCUCCAUGUCCUGUAAGCAGAGAGCCGUCUGUUACUCCUCUAGACAAUUAUCUCCUACAGGGAAACUUACACUCCUGAAAUCUAUCCUCACUGCAAUCCCAACGUUCUCCAUGUUUUCCUCCUCCCUGUCAGCCUCUGCAAAAAAAAUUCAGUCAGUUUUGACACGGUUUUGGUGGGAUGGCAGUGACUCAAGAAAAAAAAUAUGUUGGAUAUCAUGGGAGAACCUUACCAAACCAAAGAGCUUAGGCGGUUUGAGCUUUAGAGACAUCCAAGACUUCAACAAAGCCCUCUUAGGCAAACUGGCCUGGAAACUCCUUACAAAACUAGACUGCUUACUAUCCAGAAUUCUCUUGGGAAAGUACUGUCACGCAGAUUCCUUCCUCAGAGUUCCAUGUAGCUCCUCUGCUUCACACGGCUGGAGAGGAAUCACUGCAGGAAGGGAUGUUAUCAUCCAACACCUUGGAAAAAUGAUUGGCAACGGUAACUCCACAAAGCUAUGGCAUGAACCCUGGCUCUCGGUGUCGACUCCCACAUCAAUCUCUGGACCUGUAACAAUUGAUGAAAAGGACCUCAAGGUAUCAGACAUUAUGACCAGAGAAACCGGAAAGUGGAACAAAGAAGCACUACUUAAACACCUACCCCAUCUGGUAGAGGACAUUCUGCUCAUCCAACCGAGCUCUACGGGAGCAGAAGAUGGCUAUGCGUGGCUUCUUAAUCCAUCAGGGGAGUAUUCAUCGAAGUCCGGAUACUUAGCCCUGCACCUAAAGGACUCCUCGGCCACUCGAAACAACAACCUUCCUGAUGACUUUAACUGGUACAAGUCAGUUUGGAGUCCUCAACUGCUUCCCAAAAUGCAAAUCUUUUUAUGGAAGUUCGUCCAAAACGCCAUCCCCACUGGAGAGAAUCUACAGAAGCGGGGUGUCUUGACAAACACCAACUACAUCAGAUGUGGAGAACAGGAAUCUACACGCCAUUUAGUCUUCCACUGUGAAUUUGCUAAAUAGGUCUGGAACCUCGCUCCCUGGUCCUCAACUUUGAAUGCUGCAGCAACUACCUCCUUUGGUUCGGAACUCCAGUUCUCUCGGCUGCGUGUUAAUCUCCCACCAGUGGGAAGUCCCACCAACCUCUUCCCAUGGAUCGCGUGGACGAUCUGGACUGCUAGGAACCUCUUGAUCUUCGAGAACAGAACUAUAAAUCCAGCAACAUGCAUUACCAGAGCAAUAAGCGCAGCGAAAGAGUGGGCGAUCGCACAAACUCUAUCUCCACUACCGGUAUCAAGGCCCCUUGGACAGCUCCCCCUCGCAUCGAACGAACCUAACUCUACGAUCUUCUGUUACACCGAUGCAUCCUGGAUCGCGAGUACCAAACAUGCAGGACUGGCUUGGAUCUUCACAGAUCGGGCAAAGAAGGAACUCAAUUGAGGAUCCCACUUCAGAAACCUCAUCUCAUCAUCCCUCCUUGCUGAGAGCCUAGCGAUUAGAGCUCCACUGCUCCACGCUUCUUCCCUCGGCUACACAAACAUCUGGAUUCACUCAGAUUCUCAAGAGCUCGUGCGAGCAAUCAAUGGGAAUCGGCGCCCGGUGGAGCUCUAUGGACCGCUGUCGGAUAUCGUCUCUCUAUCUCUGUCUUUCAACUUUUGUCGCUUCUCUUUUAUUUCCCGUUCAGACAAUGGGCCAGCUGAUAAACUAGCUAAAUCUUCUCUCUCCUUUGGGCAUAUUGGGCCUAGUUUGUAAGAAACCCAUCUUUAAGUUCUAAUCUAAUCAGUUGCACAAAAAAAAAGGUGUCUGGUUAGACUUUUCAAUAAUUUAACAUGUAAGAAUCCAUUAGCUUUCUGCAUACAAUUUACACAUAAAAUCUAUUAAAAUAUACUUUAAUUCAUUGAAUACACAACUUAAAAAAAAAACUAACGUUGUAGCACCAUUUCUGGAUGAAGUGAUUAAAAUUAUGAGAAGCAUAUUUAAAAAUAUCAGAUCCAAUUAGAUCAUAUAUUACUACAUAAGAACCUUGUAUUGACUAGUAGAAGAAUGGCAAAAAGAAAAAAAAAACAGUUUUCUUUCGUUUUGAAUAAGCUUAAUAAAAAAAAAAGCUAAUAGCAUGAUUAAUUGGGGGUUUUAAGGUAGAGUUUUUAUCGGAAUAUAAGAAACCGUCUCUUAACUUUUAACUAUAAAAAUUAAGAACUCUUAUUAAUCAUGCUGUGCUAGGUGCUUUUCACCACUCUUUUGGGAAUAGUUUAAAUAUAUUUUUGAACACAGAUCCUAGAUUGGUGAUUAUUUUGUUUUAAGUAAAAAGUGGUUAAAACAUAAGGAACUAAUUAGUUUUGGAUGCUGAUCUUUGUCUACACUCAGUAGAAAACUCAUUAUCUUGUUCUUGCACUUAUUAAUCUUCACAAUGCUCUAGCGAUUGGAUUAGUUAUUCACUUCAAAAACAAUUAAAUCACUAUAGUAAUUGAUAGUUUGUUAAACAAGGAAACAGUUCACCCACAAUGAGCAUAUCAAAAUUCUAGAAUAUUAUAAAACGAUAAUAAUUUUAAAAUUUCUACAACAAGACACCAAAUUUUCAUCACAAUAUAAUAAUUUUAGCUAGUCAUAUUAUAACAUAAAAUUAUUAUAUAACAAUAAUAAGAACUUGACUAUUUUAUCAGCAUGAUUUUUUAUACUAUAUCUUGAAAUUUAUCAUCACGUGGACCAAAUAUCUUCUUAUUUGAGAAUUAAUGUGACGUCCAAUAAAGCAAUAAAGAGUUUGAAUUGAUAUUAUCAAAGAAAAUCCAAGGAUGUGAUUUGUUUCAACGUGGCUCCAUACAAUAUCGGUCUCUAAAUUGAAGCGUGAUUCUCGGCUUUAUCAAACUAAUUACGUUGUCAGCUCAAUUUUAACGUUAACAAACAAACACCCUUACAAUUUUAUCAUAAGUAUACAUUCGAGGAAAUAUGAUCAGUUAUUAUUUUUUUGAGAAAAAAAGUCUCAAUUGUUUACCAAAAAAGAGAGUUCCUAACUAUUUCCAACAGCAAAAAUGAGAAAUUUCGAUAUCAAGUGAAAUAUUACUUUUUUAAAAAAUUACAUACAUAAAUAUAUACAUUGUCCAUCAAACUGAUGAAUCAGUUUAAUCUUUGUAUUGUAGUUCGAGAUUACAUGGCUUAACGAUUUAGAUUUGUAUAUGCUCAGACUGGUAUCCUGAGAAUAAGAUAGAAUAAAAAUUUUAAAAAUGAUAAUAAAAUAAUUGAAAAAAGAAAAACAAGGAUAAGUUUUUGACGGUGGUCGACUCCGGUGGCUUUCGCAGCACCGGAGUCGAGUUUCGUUGCUUUAUUGUUGUUUGCUCGUGUUGUUCUCUGAAGGCGUGGGGAGGAUUCGACUGAUUUGAUGGAUGUGAAGAUUCCGACACGGAGGAGCGUGGUGGCGCGUGAAGUUUAUUUUCAGAGUCAGGUCGCUUAAGUCAGAUCUUUUCUAGAUGUUGAUGACGUGUGCUGGUUGUUUCUCGCCAGCAUCAGAGUUUGCUUCUUCUUUGAACUCCUAGAUCUACUUGCCUUCUCGCUGGCCUUGUGCUUAAAGAGUUUGUUCCCUUUGUUCCUUCUGGUUUGAGCUGUAUCUAUCCUAUAAUGGGUUUCAGAUUCUCUCCCGCCUUCAUAGUUAGUCGUGAUUAGGGUCUUGUGUAGUUUGCAGUGUCUUUCCUAAUCUUCUAAGUUCAUCUUAGACUAAUCAGUCAUGGAGUGUAGAGAAUGGCUUAAUUUGUCUUUGUUCCAGCAACGGUGAAGCAGAGUAGUAGUGGUAUGUGGAGAGCUACUGAAGGUUAGUGUCGUGAAAAAGAGUUGGUUUCAAGUCACCUCUGAGUCUCUCAGGUUCUAAGACGUCCUUCUCCUGCCCUUCGAAUAAAUGUUACUUCUGUUCUUUCUUGGUCUAUGGAUUUCCUCGGUGGCUUCUAGGUGUUGAAGCAAUAGAAAGAGGUUGAGGCUUUAUAGUGUCCAGAUGAAGGCGUGGUUGAGAUGACAGCUCUCCCGGGUGUUUUUUUUGUUUUUGUUUAUGUUUUGGCUUCGUCUUAGUGGUGGUGUGUGGUAUGUGUAGUCAUCGUGAACGGGUGGUUCAGAUGAUGGUUCUUGCUCUUCAUGAAGAACUUCUACUUUUCAUGCUCUGUUUGUGGCGAGACAUCCGGCUACUCGUAAGAAAAUUAAGUAUGGUAUCUCUUCAUAAGUUAAGUUUUAGUUGAAAGAAUUUAGUUUGUAGCUUAAUGCUUCGUUUAUUAGUGGUCUGUCUCUUGGACUUUUGAUUCCCUUGUGUGGAUUUGGUUUCCAGGGAUAUUUAUGUUUUCCGUCGGCAUUUGUAUUUCUCUCUUGUGUAUUUAACAAAGUUAUCAAUGAAAACUCAGUUGGGAAAAAAAAGAUAAGUUUUUCGUUUGUAAACUUUAGAGUUAACAGAAGUGGUAUUUUCUCUAUCUAAUUAUAAUUAAAUUAAAUAUGAAAAUAGUAUUUUAGUUAACUGCUGAUUUUAGUGAAAUCCAGUGUAAUUUAAAAUUUAAGGGUAAUAAUAAUUUACUCUGUAGUGACCACAACCAUAUAGUAUCAAACAAAAAUAUAACUAGAUGCAAAGUGUGUUUGGAGAUAGUAAACCACCGAGAGCAGUAAUUAAGGUAGCGCAAGAAAAUAAUUUAAAACAUAAGAAAGAUUCCAAAUCGAUAAUGGAGUAUAUAGAUGUAGCGUCUCGAUUCAGGAGUUGAGUUGUACAUAUUGUCUAGACUACUAGUACUAUACUACUAUCACAUUCUUUUGUUUAAUUCAGCAUUCUAAUUUAUUAAAUCAUAUAAAACAAUCAAUCAAUCGCUGUAUUGACCUGAAAGAUUCACGAGAUCCAAAUUUGUAAUUCAGAUGCAUUUGUCAAUUAGUUAGGAAGUACAUCUACACAUGACUUCUUUUUUUGGAAACAUACUCUGAACAGUGAACACCGAACUCACAUAUAGAAUAUUUUUUAGUAUACUAGGAUAAUACGCUAAAAAUCUAGACCGACAUAAAAAAUAAGACCAAAUUAAAACAUAUCAUCAUCAACAAGAACGAAUUCAACUGAGUUACUUUGAAUUCGUGCGAUACUAGCUAACGAUUAUGAUAAAUUCAUUUAACUUCGUAACUAAAUUUUGAUCCGCGCUUCGAAAGUACAUAUUUAUUUUCGGUAUUAAAAAAAUUCUUUUAUAUGAAUUUUUAUAUAAGAUGUUGUAUAGUUAUGGGUGUACUUAUCCGGAACUGAAAACCGAAGCUCAUAAAUAACCAAAUGGAUCAUUUAUCUGGAACAAAAAAAACAAAAACUUAACCAUAAUCGAACCGAAAAACAAAUGAGUACAAGAACUUUUAAAAUAAAAUUAUAUAACUACGAAUAUUAAUUAUAUUUAAUUUGUAACUAAAUGAAUAUCCUAAGAAUAUAAUUUAUAAACUGAAUUACUUGAAAAACCGAAGUACCUAAAUAUUCUUUUAUGAAGUUUUAAAAAAUUAUCCAUAAAUACUGAAGUUUAAUAGUGUAUUUAUACUUAAAUGAUGCCAAGAAAUCCCAUCGUUGUUUCUUGGCGUCUGUGAUGUGAACGCGGAGGCGAGUAUCGGUCUCGUGUCUGUGGAAAUCCAACGGUUAGGAAUCGAGGAG